rnacentral:lncRNA from 1 species
AGGAAACAUAAACUCUUACGAGAAGAUAUUCUUCCGGCAAUGGCUUCAAAUAGAAAAGUACAGCGAUUGCUUAAUGAAUUCAUGGAUCUCAUUUCCGAAUAUGAAAGCGCUGAAACAAAUCUAGAGAAAAGGUCUCAAACUUCACCAACAGCACGUCCACCAGCAGCUGAUCAAAUGGACUCAUCUGGGACAAAUCAAAAGGACUCUGUCCCUGCUGCAACAGAUCAAAAGAAGUCUGUUCCUGCUUCAAUUGAUGAAAAGGACUCCUCCCAGUUAGCAGCAGAUAAAGAGAAUUCUGCUCAAGCGGCAGAAGAUACAGUUAAUUCAGAUCCACAAAUGAUCAAUCAAGUUAGUCUUGCUCCACAAGAUGCAGGUUCUUGAGUUUUGCGUCUUCUCACAGUCAAAAGGAAUGUAAGAAAUAGGGCACGCUAACAUGUAGUUGAACAGGAGUUAGCUUGAAGAUGACCGGCGUAUUGUAUAUGUUUGGAGUUUAUUUACCCAUGACACAUGCAUAUCUAGAUUGGAGUCCAUUUUGCUGAUCACCUUUCUUCUCAAGGAAACCUACCUACGAGUGUAUGAUGCAUUAAGCGUCGAAUGAUUGGUGAAUUAUGUGGUGGUUUCCUCUCACAAAUGCAAGAAAAUCUCACUUUGCAUAUGUAGUUGUAUGUAAUUGGCUUGAUGAAUUUUGUUUCUUGUACAUUAUCCAGCAUAAUCUGAAUCUUUAUCGGAUGAGAGAGCUCCUAGGUUUUGUAGUUUUAGGUGUCCUGCCAUACAAUCAUUUUAAUUUUUAUUGAUAAUAUUUUGUUCUUGCUGUUAAAACCCAGGGGGUGCUAUGAACCGCAGCAGAUUCAAGAGAUAAAAACAUACAUCGCUAGGAUUCCUUGGUUUUAUAUUUAUUCUGAGAAAUUAAUUUACCAACUUUAGAAAUGUGCAGAAGAAUAGUAAAUAUUUCAUAUAUGUUUUUUUAUAUUUAAAUAUUGGAUAUAUGUUUAGGUGAGACAUAUACUUUAGUUCUUAAUAAUUAACAAGCAUGAGUUAAUUAUUAAUAAUAUUCCAAUGUUAGAUGAGGUUUGAAUCUCCCCUUAUUAUUGGAAAAAAAAAAUCAUGUUAUUGAAAAAAAGCAUCACAAUUUGAAUAUGCCAGCCUUGACUAGCUUAGCUCAGAAAACUUGAUCCCACUUAGAUAUGCAUGCAAACCUGUUGUUCAUGUUAUAAAAAUAACCUGGAAUAUGUAUGAAUAUUGAGCUGCACGUAAAGUAGAUGAGACACAACAUUUAACGAGGUUCGGCUAUGCCUACGUCCUCGGAGAGCAGCAGCAGUAACUUUUUCACUAUAUAAAAUAAUAGGGCUACAACUUUAGAGUUUACAAUAUGUGAGGCUCACUGAAUUUUCUCUCUCUUUCCUCUUCUAUCUUUCCUCCUCUUUUUCCUCUUCUUUCCUCUUCUCUUUUCUCUUCUCCCCUUUCUUUCUUUUCUCCGUUGGUCACUCUUCCCAUUGCAAGUGAUAUGCCUAUUUAUAGGCUAAGGUUUUGGUAAAAUACAGGGAAGGGAAGAUUCCUGGAACAUGCAAGGAAACUUCCUGAAUUGAUAAAUACAGGGAAGGAAAGUUCCUGGAAGAUGCAAGGAAACUUCCUGAAUUGAUAAAUACAGGGAAAGGAAAGUUCCUGGAAGAUGCAAGGAAACUUCCUCUGUGGGCUCCACCUUCAAACUUUUACAACACUCCCCCUUGGAGACCACAAAUGAUAUGGAAUAUGCCUCGUUAAAAACCUUGCCAGUAAAAACCCAGUGGGACAAAAACUGGUCGAAGGGAAAAAGAGUACAUAAUCACGUGUAACAUAAAAUUCUGUGUAUAUUGACGCGCGUGCGACACUGCCUCGUUAAAACCUUGCCAUGAAAAACCCAGUGGGAUAAAAACCUGGACGAAGGAAAAAGAGUACAGUGUGUAAGGGUCUGUAUUGACAGCACGCUCCCCCUGAUGCUUGGCAAAAUAUCUUUAAGCCAUACUGUUGAUCAUCUGUCUGAAUAUCAUAGUUGACACUGCUGCUGUGAGUCAAUAGUGUAUGAAGGUCUUUAUUAAUACCAUGCUCCCCCUGAUGAAUAUCUCCCCCUGAAAACUUCAUGACUAGCUUUUUCCAGUAAGCGACCAUAGAGAUUUCCUGAGUCCGCAUAUCUUAGAACAUUUGGGCUAUUUAUAAGUUCACUAAAAAAUAUGCCCGUAUAUGGUGUUAUGCUUAGAUAGCAUCAAAUAUACCUCACAUCAUCCCAAAAUGAUGGUGAUGGAGUUGAGCCCUAUCUGAAAAAUAUGAUGUCCGGUCCAAUAUACUUCCGGAAAAUCAUUAAAGUGUCCAACGGAUAAUCCUCAUAAAAAUACUUUAAUACUUUCUUAGUAUAAGCAAGAAUUUCGUUGGCAUAAUGCUCGAUCGAGACAAAUAUUUCAUGAAUUCUGCAGAAGCUUUAAUGUGUUGCAAUCACAUUAUAAUCAAUGUACUCACUGAGGUAAUUUAUGCAUAUUAAUAUUGAGUACAAAUUUUGUGCUUCAAGCACAUUGUCCUUUAGGGACUUGCUCUAUGCAAUAUCAAUCCUCUCAACGGAUUUUGGUUAAAAGGGAUUAAACUUUAUGACACAUUAUAUAGCUUUUACCCAGCUAUUUAUACAUCCUUAGGAAAUCGCUUCUGGCGAUAUGCUCUGUGCAUUAAUAACCCUUAAAGAUAAUAUGUUGGUCUCCGUAAUUGUGUAAUAAGAGGGGCACAAUUGAAUCUGUAAAUAUGGAGAAAACCCAACAUUCCUUGUUUCUGCCAGAAACAGUGUGUCAUACAAAGUAGGUAUAUUCCCUUUUAUUCCGAACACCCAAGUAUAACUUUCAGUAUUAACAAAUUUUGGGGUUCGUAUUGUGGGUUUGUUCUUUCACGUUCAUUCUCAUUUAUAAUGGAAUUACCUCGUUCCAUUUUGGCCAAUGAUAUUGUCGACAUUUAAUAAUUGAACGUGGUUCCAAUCAACACAGCCCAUUGAUGAUUUGAGUAGCUACUCCAAAACCAAAAAUUGUCAUUCAUCAAUUCAUGAUAAAAAAUUGUCAUUCAUCAAUUCAUGAUUCCACCAUUCUCAUGUGCAUGCGCAUGCAUCAAUUAUAAGCAUUUCUUUGCUUUUGGGUACCCAAGCCACUUCAGGGGGCUUUUAUUAUGUGAGAAUGUGGAUUAUAACCUCCAAUGGAGCGUUAUUUUACAGUAGGGCGUGGAUAAUCUCUAUUUAGAGAGUUGGAACAUUUAGAACCCAUAUAUCUGUCAUGCUGCAGACAUGCCACAGAUUAAUACAUACAUGUCAAUUAAUUUCUGGGACUUUAACCCAUAUUAUGGGACUUUAACCCAUAUAAUUUGCUACGCAUUAGGCGUGUAUAAUAUCAAUAUUGACAUGUCAAAGGAUUGUCCUUUCGGGACUUCAAUCCAUAUCAUUUGCUACGCAAUAGGCAUGCAUCAUAUUGAUCACUGCUAUACCCAUAUUUUGUUCUUAUGGGACUUUAAUCUGUGCAGUGUAUUAUCAAUGUAUCCAACUUGCAAUCUGUAAAAUUUGCGUUAAUAAUUCAUGGAUACAUACAAGCCAUUCUUUUGGAACGGACUUAUCUCCCCAUUUGGUUACCUUUCAAUAUCAAAUAGGUAUAUAAGCAUAAAAUAACACAAGUAUUGCUUACAUCCUUAGGUGGGAGAAACUUUUCUCAAGUAUCAUUCAAGCUCAUAUCAGCCUAGUAAAUAUAAUGUAGCGCUUGAUGGUCUAGUUAUAUCCUGCAAGAGCAAAAAUCACAAUUCUCUUCUCUGUCAAAAACAAAUAACUCUCAGAGUUAGGAUCACUGCAUGGAUUCAUUCUUCAGAUGUUCAUUCUAAAGAAAUAAAAUCUCUUAUGAACAGAGAGUUAUAAAAAGAGAAAAAAUGCAAAAAGAUUGUGAUAUUAAUUGCAAGGUAAGGUAAGCAAUCAAGGAAGGAAGCUGGUGGGAGCAAACAACAAGCUCUCAUUUCUCCUAGUCUAGAAAGACCUCAGGAGAUUGGAGCAUAAGGUCACCUUCACAGUUCCCUAAUGUAGCGGAAACAUGAUCAGGGAUAGUCUUGCUUCCUGAAUGUGUGAUCAGAGAUAGUCUUGCUUCUCAGGCAUAUUAAGUGCUCACUGAUAAGAAAAACAAGUAGAUAUCGCAUCACUAGGUAUGGAGAAAACUGGAUGUCUUCUGCAAAGAAAAUUUCGUUAGUAACACAUUUAUACACAAAUACAAUGAAUAGGUAGAAUCGGUGAAUUUCAAAUUAACCAUAGGAAAAUUGCGAGAUUCUCGGGAUACUUUUGAAAAAGUAGUUCCGUGAAAUCCGUAAAGCAAGAUCGGCUUUGAAAAUAAUACUUUGAAAAACGCCGAAAGUGCCGACAGGCAUUAUUAGAGGCCACGUGAAGUUUUGGACUCUGGGAAAGAAAAAGAUAAUAUGGGGAUUCGAGAAGAUAUUGCCGACAGGCAUUAUUAGAGGCCACGUGAAGUUUUGGACUCUGGGAAAGAAGAAGAUAAUAUGGGGAUUCGAGAAGAUAUUGGGGUCCUGAAAAGUUGCCACAUUUUCGUCUAUAGAUAUUGCCUUUGCAAACUGCGUUUCAACUCAAUUUCCUUCAUUUUCCGAACCUUUAGUUUUUCUAAGACUUUCUUCGAAACCUUCUUAAAAAAAAUGGCUUCCUCUUCUUCCUGCCCAAAUUAUUUCAAUUUAAAUGAUGCUCCCACAACAACCAGUGACGCCCAAGUUUGGCGUCCAUCCUUUGUAUCCAAAAAUCGUCAUCUCACAGUUAAUGAUUCUGUGAUGAUGAAUGAUGCUACUGCUGUCAUAGUAGCUAGGAAUUUCAUUAUUCCAAUGGAUGAAAUGUUGUUGACAGGGAGAUCAGAGGAAGAGGCUAUUGAUGACUCAAUGGCUUUUAGCAUUCAGAGUGCUGUUUCUGUUUCUAACAUGGCUGAUCGUUUGCGUGCCAGAGCAAACGAGGUUGAGAGGUUAGCUACUGAAAAUUCGUCUCUCCAAAGAAUGCUUCAUGAGUCUCAACAGGAGGUUGAGAAACUUAAAGGAGAGAAUAAUACCUUGUUGAAACUGGUGAGUUCGUACUCUAUUGAUACACUGAGAAGGCUAGACAUGCUGCAGGUCUCCAAUGAAAGAAUUUUGGGAGACCACGAGAAGCUCAUGGCUAAGCUUAAGAGGCGCCGUCAUCUUCCUGCAGAGGCUUCCAGAACAUAAUGUAAUUUUUUAUAGAUUUCACAGGGCCUGCACCUUCAUUGCAGGUGGAAAAAUCUAUCUGUUAUAUGUUCCUGUUAUAAUAAUUGCGCAUAUUCUUAAACUUGCACCUGUGGUUUUUACGUCUUUUCAAAAUGACGAUUUGGAACCUUGUGCCUUAUAGGUUCAAAUAACCACAUCGACUCUCCCAAAUUUCAUAUUUCAACGUAUGGUAGCCCGGAACUUAUGGCCUGGGCACAAACUCAGAAUUUAUUUGCCCUUUUCAAAUGGACAUGAAAUAUGAAUUGAGUAAAAGCCAUGAUAAUAUCGCAAUAUAGUAGUGAAGAGCAUUAACUACUAUAUACCCACAACUUCAAGUUUAGGAUCUCUCAUAUAUUUGGAUCCAUGGGCUUCCGGCCCAGAUAUAACAAAAUAUGGGGGAGUCUCAAUUCAUUUAUUUGAGGUUUAUAUUAAUAUUAUCCAUUUCGCGGUGUAUUCUUAACAACCGGAAUUCACAAAAUAUAUUUCUUCCUUGAGGUGUCGAUUAUAACAAAAUCGAACUUUAAAUUCAUCAUCUUCUUAUGCCAAAGAAAUAUGUGGCAUACCACAAUUUGCAAUAAUACAUCAAGGGUUGUCCAUUUAAUUGUUGGAACUUCAGGUUCUCAACACUGUUAAAUUUUGAACUUCAGGUCAAAGCCACAUAUUUCGGGAUUUCAAGCCCUUACAUAAUUGUCCAUAUUUUGAGGAACUUCUGGCAUCUCAUUUAAUUGCACAUCCAUGAGUUUAAGGAACUGCAGGUUCCCUUUUGUAUAUAGUGACGGUUUACCCAAAAUGGUUAAUAUUUAUGCAUACGUCACUAUUCAUGUGAAUAGUACUAUUCAUCAAGUCAUGAAUACAUAUCUAUUCAUCUGCCAGUACAGUUAUCAUCAAUGUGUACGGCACCAUGAACCAAUACGGUAUUGUUACAUCAUUAAGGAACUCUAGGUCCUUAUUUACAUGUCGGGAUCAAGGACCUUUAAGUCUAAUCACAUGUUUACAAAUACAGUACCGGAGAGACUGCCAGCUCUCAUAUCAUCAUCAAGGAUCUUCAAGUCCUAAUUUAAUUGUAUGAUGAGGAUCAAGGAACUUCUGGUCCUGAUCUGCAUACUAGAAAAACUCAUCAUACAGCACAAUUAAUCCAUAAAAUAAAUUGCUGAUAAAUAAAUUACUGGUAUGGACGAUAAACCCGCACCACACUUUAAAUAAAUGUAAAUGUGCGGUAAAUUAAAUUCAUAAAUUAAAUUGCUUGCUGUAUGGACGUUAAUCCCGCACCAUACUUUAAAUAAAAUUAAAUGUGCGGUAAAGUAAAUUGUGCUUGUAUGGGCACUAAUUCUGCUCCAUACAUUUAAAUAAAAGCAAAGGCGUGGACGAUAAACCCGCACCACCCUUUUAAAUAAAUACUGUUGUAUGGGUAAUAAACCUACACCAUACAGUAAAUAAAAUAAAUAUACGGUAAAAUAAAUUUGCGAUAAAGUAAAGGUGCAUGUAUGGGUAAUAAACCUACACCAUACAGUAAAUAAAUGUGGGGUUAAAACCACCACCGAAUAAAAUAAGAAAAAAGUUAGUAUUAGUAACGGUCUCCCACUGAUAAUAUGUUUAGUAUUACCAAGGGUCCAUUUUUGUUAGUGGUUAGCAAGGGCGGAUCCACAGAGGAGCAAGGGUGGUCAAUUGACCCCUGCAACCUCUGAAAUCCUCCAUUAGAGAAGCCAAACUUGACCCUCGCAAAGUGUUCGAUGAAAUGCCCCAAAGGGGCAACCUGUGUGCAGCUGGGUGGGACUAUAAGUGCUGGGCUUUCGAGGCUGGGAGAUGGAGAGGAGGGAUGAGAAGGAAGAAGAAGAAGAAGAAUGUCUCAUUUGGUGGUGGUGGUGGUGGAAAGCAGCAGCUGCUGCUUGUGGCUGGAGGUCGUGAGCUUGAUGAUGUGGCUGCUGUCAAUGCGAAGGAGCUCUCGAACCAAGUCCUAGACUAAGCACAAAGUGAUGGGCAUGUACUGGACUAAACAAAAACUUAAAUAAUAAAAAUGGUAGGCAAGAUACUGAUGCAAUGCUAAGCCCAAAGUGAGGGGCAUGUAAUUGUAGCAACAAAAAACUAAAAAAAUAAUAAAGAAAAGUAGGCCAAAUGCACGGACCACGGGUUGGUCCAAGUCUUUUUUUUUUUUUUUUUUUUUUUUUUUUUUUUUUUUUUUUUUGGGGUCAAACGGGCUGGUCUAAGUCUCUAACUCAAAAAUAUGUUCAUUUAUUUUUCAGGUAAUUAAAAGUAUGUUCAUUUUCAUUAAAUAAGCAAGCACACAAAUCCAGAAAUUUUAAAAGACAGAGAAAGUCAUGGGUGUGUAGCUGAAGGUGGAAAGUCAGAAAACACACACGAAGUGGAAAUUACGGAGACGGAAAGCCACAAUGCCACAAUGUGAAGCUCGAGGGUCAUAAUCGACGUCUAUAAAAGAAAACAAUGGGAGAAAAACUAUAGCUCCACCAAUUUUCUUCCUUUCCAUUUCUCUCGAUUUAAACCUAUCUCUUCAAACUCAGAAAUAAAAUGGCAUCUUCAUUUCUAUUUUCUAUCGAUCUAAACAUAGCUCCGCCAACACAGACAUGGGGGCAAUGAGCCGCACCUGUAAGACGUUGACCCUUGCAAACAAAAUUUCUAGAUCCGCCACUGGUGGUUAGUAGUAUAGAUAAUAGUGCAGCACAAAAAUUAUACCUGAGAGCUUCUCGUGCUGAUAACGUGUUAUAAAAAUAACCUGGAAUAUGUAUGAAUAUUGAGCUGCACGUAAAGUAGAUGAGACACAGCAUUUAAUGAGGUUCGGCUAUGCCUACGUCCUCGGAGAGCAGCAACAGUAACUUUUUCACUAUAUAAAAUAAUAGGGCUACAACUUUAGAGUUUACAAUAUGUGAGGCUCACUGAAUUUUCUCUCUCUUUCCUCUUCUAUCUUUCCUCCUCUUUUUCCUCUUCUUUCCUCUUCUCUUUUCUCUUCUCCCCUUUCUUUCUUUUCUCCGUUGGUCACUCUUCCCAUUGCAAGUGAUAUGCCUAUUUAUAGGCUAAGGUUUUGGUAAAAUACAGGGAAGGGAAGGUUCCUGGAACAUGCAAGGAAACUUCCUGAAUUGAUAAAUACAGGGAAGGAAAGUUCCUGGAAGAUGCAAGGAAACUUCCUGAAUUGAUAAAUACAGGGAAGGAAAAGUUCCUGGAAGAUGCAAGGAAACUUCCUCUGUGGGCUCCACUUUCAAACUUUUACAACAGUUCACACAAGAAAAAUGCAAUGUAAAUUAAAUAACCAGUGAAAAUCGAUCAAAAUUCAUCACACCAGACAGUGGCACUGUCUCAAUCAGUAUGUUGGAUGGCAAAAAAUACUGGUUGAUUUUAUAUAUCCGAAUCUGACCAAUCAAAUGUAAAGCUAGUCAUUUCAUGUGAUUGAACCAACUACUUCCACGUACUCUCAAUCCCAGUGACAUAUUUAACUAAUAUAUUAGUACAAUAGCAAUUUAUAAAAAUUAAUAAAUAUAUUAUUUUAAUUUCCGUAUACGUGACUAUCAUGAUCCCCACUGAGAUCUGUCUAAGAGUUGGAAGGUUUCAGACUUCCAGCAAUACUACUUGACAUUGGAUAACCAGAAUAAUGAGGAUGGAAGUCUUUAGAGGAACCACAGUAGAAAUCAACCAUGAAAGAUGGUGCUUAUAUCCAACAAAAGACAAAACCUCCUGAUUACAACCCAACUAGUGGUAGAUCUAGGAUUCUCGAUCUAAGUGGUCAAAAAGUAAAAGUGUUGAAAUUUUUUUAAUUAAAAAAAACACUAAAAAGCAUAAAGAUAGAACAUUUAUUUAAUUAUCUAAAAAUUAGAAUAUGAGUACGUAUACGGAAAUUAAAAUAAUAUAUUUAUUAAUUUUUAUAAAUUGCUAUUGUACUAAUAUAUUAGUUAAAUAUGUCACUGGGUAUAGACUAAAAGGUUUAAUUAAAAAACAUUUGGGCCAAACCUUUUAAAAAGACCUAUAGGUUAUUAAUAAACAUUUGGGCCAGACUUAUACAUGGCCCAGACUUUUUUAAAAAACCUAGAACUAGUGAAACGGUGAGUUUAAACUAAAAUGAGGCAUAAGCUAGGCAAAUCACCGACAUCAUCUUCUUCGCUGUCUCUGCAACCCAAAAAAAAUUCAAGUCGUGGUGCUGCCAGAUCCGAGCAGCUGCGUCUGGAAAAAGUUUAGAGAGCAGCGCAAGGCAAGCCCACAGGGGACUUUCAUCGCGCACCUUGCACACAAGGGGUCGCUCAGCUAACGGCCAAGGGGUCGCUGGUGGAGUCCACGGCUAGAUUUCCUGCAUUCCAAGGGGUCGUGUGACCCCUCUUGUCCCAACGUGCGUCCGCCACUGUGGAGGACUGGGUUGAAAAUGAACAAUUAUGUAAAACCCUUGAAGGGUUUUGGCUAUGGGGCAGUUGGGCACAUGGGUUUUGGUGAGAUUGGAUUGAUGGUGGGAUUGGAGUGAGUUUCUGUGAAACUUGUGGGUUUAUGGGAACUAUUCUGGCGAUUGGGGUUAUGGGUUUUCUUGCUCUGAACAGUGAGCUAAUCAUUUCAAGGGAAGGAAGAAGAAGAACUGCUUGAAACCACAAAAUAAAUCAAGAAAUUGGUCUUUAGUUUUGCAGCUAUUUUUAUUCUUUGGAGUAUUACAAAAGGGGCUUACUCACUUGGUUGGUACUGCUCUCAAUCCUCAACCUGAUGACGCAUGGUCUCAGGCUUCAGCACAUUGAAGCUCACAGAGUUCUGAGUAUUUUGCUUCGUAUAUGAAGCCCUUCUCUCGUCUGGACCUAUUGAGGCCGUUGGAUAUAUCUGACGGUUGAUUUGCAAAAUAUUUUUCACAAUACCGGUAAUACCCUUGGUACUCUUUCAAACUGACAUAGCCUAUCCCCGUGUUUCUCUACUGGACGGAAAGGGAGGGCUUUCACCUCGCAAGUUAACUGCUUUCUCACUCUCACAAGCUCACAAGCUCGUAAGCUUCAUUCUCUCUCAACUCUGGCUUCUUCAUUCACGUAAAGGUAAAUAAUCAGUCUCUUUAAAAUCUUUUGAUUUUAGGGUUUUCAAUCCUCUCAGUUUUUUUUGUUUCUGUUUUUGUUUUUUUAUAUAUGGGGAUUUCUGUUUAUUUAUUUAUUUUUUGGAGUGAUUUUGAGAUUCUGUAAACGGAGGUUUAUGGGUUUUGUAAUUUGAUUGAUUUAUGCUCAAUGGUACUCUGCAUUACAUUAGUUUUGAGGUCAGACUCAAAGUUCCAAGCUAGGGUUUUCAAGCGGGUUUGAAUUUUCUGUUUUUGUUUUGGGUUAUUGUGGAUUCUGUAUACAAUGCUUCAUGGAUUUUUAAUACUAAUUUUCCUAUGCUCAACCUGUGAUGGUGUUCUUCAUUUUGUUAGUUUGGAGUUUGGAUUCAACGUUCCUAUGUAGGGAUUUUUUCGCUGGAUUUUGAUAUCUGAGGAUGCCCUGUUAUUAAUUUAGCUUCUUUGAGGCUUCUUCAAGUUGUUUCAAGUUUGUUUACAAUUGAGUUUGUUUUAAGCUUCUCCUGCGUCAAAUGGAUGCCCAGAGUUUCUUGCCCCAUUGUAUGCCCCAUAAUAGGUCCCAUUCUUCUACCCUUUCCCGGGAGUCGAUGACUAUUCGUACAUAGCUAUUACCUUAACACCAAAGAAGAGUUUCAACCAAUGCUUUAUUUCUGUGUCCUAGUUGAUCCUGAUUCGACAUUAGAAGUAUAUUGAUUUUUUCCCAAUAACCGAAUACUUUUGUCUGUAAAUACUGCAUAUUUACACAUGCACAGGACAUGGUUCAAAUUAGUUUAGAAUCCUAUGUGUAUAGGAGUGAGAUCGGUAUCUUGUUAAUUGGCCUUUCUCUUUUUUUUUUUCUAUGCAAUUAAUUUGUAAUUAAAACAAAUAGUUUUUAUGAUACAAAAACUUCAUCUUGGUUUGCAAUUUGCAUAAAGAAGUUACCCCUUGAUCUUAUUCUCUAUUGCCCCUUUGGCCCAAAUCCUAUGGUUUUGCUUAUUAUGCUUCAUUAACCUAGGUUUUUCCUGCUUCAAAUCCUUGAAUCUUGCAUAAUCUUUUGCUCAGAUGCCCUUUUUUUUUUUCUUUUCUGAGAUACUUUAUCUAGUUCUUAUCUUGGUUCAAAAAUCCUAAAUUUGCAUACAUGUUUAGUAGGAUUUGAAGUAAGAAAGGGUUUUUUUUUUUUUUUUUCCUUUUUCCUUUCAUUGACUGAUUUUUUGGUUCAUUAACUCAAACGUGUCUUUUGCUCAUUGGCUUAUUUUUUGGUUCAUUAACUCAAAUGUGUCUUUUGCUCAUUGGGCAGUUGUGAUUUCUUGUUGCUCCGAAGUAUGAAUUUGGAGCUUAUAAGGUGGAAUUGUUGUGUUAGGUAGGUUCUGCGAAUAAGUAGAAGAGAUGAUUGCAGAAAAGCCCAGUUGGAUUAGGCACGAGGGAAUGCAAAUUUUCUCCAUUGAUGUUCAGCCUGGUGGACUUAGGCUGGCCACUGGUGGGGGUGACCACAAGGUGCGACUUCUCUCCUCCUUUGUGCUCUGUUUGCUUGCUUAGGAAAUGUAGGAAUUCAUUAAAAAGAAAAAUUAAUUGUGUUUUUUUUCCCUCCAAUAUAUCAGAAUCAGAAACCUGUACUCAUGGGGGGAACAUUACAAGUUUUCCCGUUCACUAUGUAUUGUUUCUCGUCAUUAUUGUUCUGUUUGGUUGGAAAAGUAUUAAACAGAUGGGACAUUUAAGUUUUCAGAGACCCUGGAAAAGAAAACCCCAAAAUACAUUUAUUUUACUUCGUUGUUAUAAUCUUCUAUUGUAUCCUUUGCCUUGUUUGGUUGGGAAAAUAUUGAACAGACCAGACAUUUGAGUUUUCAGAGACCCUUGCAAAGAAAACCCCAGAAUACAUUUAUAUUGCUUUUAUAUUGCUUAGUUUUUAGAAUCUUCAAUUAUAUCAUCUGCCUUGUUGGUGGAUAUUUUGAUGGACAUAGGUUGGAAUUUGUGUCUACUGUUGUGUUUGGAUUGUGAGUUUACAAGGGCUCUGAAUUCUUAUUAAAAAUUGUGCAAUUUAAAAGUAUUAAUGUUAUGGAAUCUACUAUUUGAAAUAGGGUGGAAUUCAAAUACGUCAUUUUAAAUUCACUCUCUAAAUCACACUAUUUUUUCCUCACAAUCUGUAACACGAAGUAAUAAAUCUCUGUUUUUUAUUUUUCCUGAUGUUUGAUUUAAACAAUUUAAACUAUGUAGUCAAAUACAUACAUACAUACAUAUAUAUACAUACAUACAUCAUACAUACACAUAUAUAUACAUACAUGCAAAUUGAUGGAUCUAUAUAUAUAUAUAUGCAAAUUGAUGGAUGUAUAUAUAUAUAUAUAUAUAUUUAUUUAUUUUAUGGGCGCCUUUGUUGCAUCACUUUGCAUGGCAUCAUUUGUUAUACUGUGGAAUUGAUUGCUUCGUCCCUACUUUGCCAACUACAGGUGCGAGUAUGGAACAUGAAAUCCCUUGGCAGGGAUUUGGAAAAUGAAGAAUCAUCCCAGAGGCUACUUGCAACUCUCCGUGAUCACUUUGGUUCUGUGAACUGUGUUAGGUGGGCUAAGCAUGGUAGGUAUGUUGCUUCAGGAUCUGAUGAUCAAGUGAUUCUAAUUCAUGAGAGGAAGCCUGGUUCAGGAACCACUGAGUUUGGUAGUGGGGAGCCCCCUGAUGUUGAGAAUUGGAAAGUUGCAAUGACUUUGAGAGGGCAUACUGCAGAUGUGGUAAUGAAAUUGCUUUUACCAUUUCGAUAGCUGGAUCACCUGAAACAAUUUCCUGCUUUCUAUAGUUUUUCGAAUGGAGUGUGUUUUGCUUCAUGACUACGAUCCACCUUUUGUUUUCAAAAAAUCAAGUCAUCUGGCUUUUGGGAUUACUUUGACCUGCAGUAAAUUUGUUUUUUGAAGUUACUGGAAGAGUGACAUAAUGUAUGGUUUUUUUCUUCAGCUGCCUUUAUGAAGGAAAAAAAUGGGGCUAAUUUAGUUGAUUUUCGUUUAUAUUCUCCUAAAUAAAUGCUGUGGAUUUGUAUAGUUCCUGGUGGGUCUUACUGAGGUGCUUUUUUUUUUCCAUGCUUAAAGUAGGUGGAUCUUAAUUGGUCUCCGGAUGACUCGAUGUUGGCCAGUGGAAGUUUAGAUAACACUAUACACAUCUGGAAUAUGAGCAAUGGUAUUUGCACUGCUGUUCUAAGGGGUCACUCUAGCCUGGUUAAAGGAGUUACUUGGGAUCCAAUUGGUUCAUUCAUAGCAAGUCAAUCAGAUGAUAAGACUGUAAUUAUUUGGCGAACAAGCGACUGGAGUCUUGCUCACAGGACAGACGGCCACUGGGCAAAAUCAGUAUGUCAAUCGUGUAAGUUUGUCUCUAUACAGGUUCCAAUAUCAUUGUCUAACAAGUGUUUGUUGUUUCAGCUUGGAUCUACCUUUUUCAGGCGGCUGGGAUGGUCCCCUUGUGGCCACUUCAUUACUACCACUCACGGGUUCCAGAAACCAAGGCAUUCUGCACCUGUCCUAGAGAGAGGGGAAUGGUCUGCUACAUUUGACUUCUUAGGACAUAAUGCCCCCGUGAUCGUAGUGAAGUUUAAUCAUUCAAUGUUUAGGAGGAAUAUUUCCAAUGCUCAGGAAAAAGCAGCACCUGUGGGGUGGACUAAUGGGGCUUCAAAGAUGGGUGGGAAAGAGAAAGAACCACAACCUUACAAUGUCAUUGCAAUUGGGAGUCAGGAUAGAACCAUAACUGUCUGGACAACUGCAAGUCCCCGGCCUCUCUUUGUAGCAAAGCAUUUCUUUACUCAAAGUGUUGUGGAUUUAUCCUGGUAUGGUUGCUAUUUCUAGAAAAAUGAUUUACCAUUAGGUUGUCUGCAUAUUCUUUUUCAUUUUGAUAUAGCAAAUUUUUAUUUUUUUUGUGUGUUGUUCUGUUCUGUAAUGUUAUUUUUCUUCUUAUGGAAACAGGAGCCCUGAUGGUUAUUCACUUUUUGCAUGUUCUUUGGAUGGGUCAGUGGCUACUUUCCAUUUUGAGGUGAAAGAGCUUGGCAAUAGGUUAACUGAUGCUGAACUGGAUGAAUUGAAGAGAAGUCGUUAUGGUGAUGUUAGAGGUCGGCAAGCAAAUUUAGCAGAAAGCCCAGCACAGUUAUUGCUUGAAGCAGCCUCUGCUAAGCAGGCCCCAAGCAAAAAAGUGGUUCUGGAUCAGCAAAACCAGACAGUUGUAAAACCUUCUGUUGAUGCAAGGGUUGCAACAAAAACUUCUGUUGAUGGUUUAAAUAAGGCUUCAUUGUCUGCCAGAAUUUCUAGUCCUGUGAAGCAGAGGGAAUAUAGACGGCCUGAUGGUAGAAAGAGGAUUAUUCCAGAAGCUGUUGGGGUGCCUCUCCAGCAGGAAAAUAUAUCUGUUGGGCCUCAGUCGCAGGCUCUUGACUUCCCUCCUAUGCCUUCUGAUAAAAAAAAUGAUGAUAAUGGGUUAGCCGCUGCUGAUAGUAGCAUUAGAGACAGUUCUGUUAGGGGAACGCUUGGUAGGAGCACUGAAAUAAAGGAGGGACAUGGGGUCACUGCUAGAGCUAUGAUUACCAAAAGCCUGGUUAUUGAGAAGGUUACCGCAUCCACAGGCAGAGAUGAAAGCAUAACUGUGGAGCAGUCGGGAAAUGCCAAGGCUUCUAGUUCGCUAGGCGCUUCUUGUUCCGCUCUUUCAAUUAGGGUGUUCGAUAAGAAAGAAGGGGAAGAUACUGUACCAAUUUGCUUGGAAGCUCAACCCCGAGAACAAGCUGCAAACGACAUUGUUGGCAUGGGAAAUACAUUUAUCAUGAAAGAAACAGAAAUUACUUGCACAAGGGGGUUGCAAAUUCUUUGGUCGGAUAGGAUAUCUGGGAAAGUCACUGUUUUAGCUGGAAAUGCAAACUUUUGGGCUGUUGGCUGUGAGGAUGGAUGCAUACAGGUUAGUAUAUAUCUCUUUCAUGCAUGUGUACUCAUUAAUUUUUGUUUUUUCUUCAUUUUUUUCCCAUGUUUAAACCAUUCUUAACAGAUAUAUUUCAAAAUAAGUUAAAUUCUGCAUAAUAUUCCUUGGUGGUUGCACUUCACAACAUCUUACUAUACAAUUGCAAACAUCUAAUAAAUGUUUUUUCUGUGAAUCACCAUUGAAGUCAAAGCAUUCUUUUGCAUUUGCAGCAUUUGAUAUUUAAAUGAUUGUUGUAGCUGAAGAAAGAUGCUAAUAUAGUUAAUAGGUUCAGAACUUCAAAUUUUUUUUUUUUCUUCCCUUUAAAGCCUAUUCAAAACCCUUAAAACUAAGGUUUUGCCAUCAUUGACUGGCUUAAGCUCUUGGUUUGAUAUGUGAUUCGUUGUACUGGAAGAAGAGAGUGAGUUUAAAGGAUGAAGGUUAAAGAGAUGCAGAUACUUGAUAUGCUAUUUUAAGCGUAUUUUAUUUUUCAAUGAUUUCUUUAAUGGGAUCUUCCAAAUUGGAUUAUAUUUCCAAUGCUCAAAGGACAACAAUUUUUAUUCUUAAUUAGCAUGACUCUGUUAGUCUAUGCACCAACUUCACUCUGGCGGUCAUGACAAGCAUUAUGACAUUUAUGUUCGUUAUAGUCAUAUGCAGACGUGAAAAUACCACUAAGCUUGCUUGAAGUGGUUGGAUAUAUAUAACUUGUCAACUUUUUGGUCUCCUUGAGUAGGUUUACACAAAAUGCGGGAGACGUGCUAUGCCAACUAUGAUGGUAGGAUCUGCAGCAAUAUUUAUAGAUUGUGAUGAGUGCUGGAAGUUGUUUUUGGUUACAAGAAAAGGAUCCUUUUAUGUGUGGGAUCUAUUCAAGCGGAACUGUCUUCUUCAUGAUUCGUUGGCAUCUCUGGUUGCUUCAAACCCAAACCCAUCUGCAAAAGAUGCAGGUACCACAUUGAACUUGUCUUUUCAACACAUGGAGCGUCUUUUUUCAACUGUAGUUGCUUGAUAGCAUAGCCCAUUCUUGUCGGCAUUAUGUUUAGAUGUGCUUAACGUCCUGUCCACUGUGGCUGUUGGCUUUUAUACAUGCUUUCCAGGUGUGAUCAAAGUUAUAUCAGCAAAGCUAUCAAGAUCUGGUUCUCCUCUUGUUGUUCUUGCCACUCGCCAUGCCUUCCUCUUUGACAUGGGCCUGAUGUGCUGGCUUAGGGUUGCAGAUGACUGCUUUCCUGGGUCAAAUUUUUCAAGCUCCUGGCAUUCGGGUUCAACUCAGAGGGGUGAGCUGGCAGCUUUGCAGGUUGAUGUUCGGAAAUAUGUGGCCAGGAAGCCAGGUUGGAGUAGGUGUGUACUAAAAUUGCGGAAUUGUUCAGAUAAUAUUAAUAUGUACUGACCGACACAUUGCAGUUUAAUAUCUUGCUCUUGGAAUUGAUCCAGUUGUAUUUUCUUAUAGGGUGACUGAUGAUGGAGUGCAGACACGUGCUCAUUUGGAAGCUCAGUUGGCUUCUUCACUGGCUUUAAAGUCCCCUAAAGACUAUCGUCAAUGCCUUCUUUCAUACAUACGCUUCCUUGCGAGGUAUUUAUUUUUGCCUCCCUUGUGCAUAUAUUAGUAAAUAUACCUAGGUGUCCUUCCUUGCACUCUGCUGCUCCUCUUUUCCUCCUCUUUUUCUCUGAGUUGCUCUAUUCGCACAUACAUAACACGUUGCUAGUAAUGUUGUUAAACUCUUUCAUUAUUACAUAUAAUGUUCAUUGGUGGUGCUUCUCUUUGACUUCUACUAGCAUGCUCUGCUUCUGCUUUUUUCUGUUGUGUCAUCGUCUUUUACCCUUUAUUUGAUUCAUCAAUAUCUUCUACAGAAGAAAACAUAAGGUGUGCAAUUUGUUUUACCAAGUUUGACACUGAAAGUGUGUUAGAAUUGAAUACUUGUAAGACAUUCUUUCAACCCCGUCUCUCCUUCUCUUUCUCCCUCUUGUUGUUUGAAAUUUCGUGCAUGCUCACGCACCGAUGUUGUCAGCAGUGUAUAACUAAGAGAUAGAUGUGUUGAUACAGCCUUAAAUCUGAAAUACCCCUUCUUAUUCUCGUUUACUAGAGCUUCUUUAUUAGUUUUUUUUUUUUUUUGGUCACCUGGGGGGUUCUAAAAGUCUAUUCUUAAGAUAUGAUGUCAUAUAUAUAUAUAUAUAUAUAUAUAUAUAUAUAUAGGGUCAGGAUCAGGGGACACACAUUUUUAACACAACUUUUGACACACUUUUAAGACCUUUAGAUCUAACCACUUUCAACGGUGGAGAUGAAUGCUAAUAUAACUUUUUCACUAUUACACCUUGUAUUCUUCCCUUUUCGGGAAUGUCAAUAUUUAAUAGCUUUUUCAGCUUCUUUUUUCUCUCUCUUUCCUCCCUCCCUUGUUUUCUCUCCCUUUAAAACCUUUUCUUCUUCUCUGACAAAAACAAGACCCUUCUUCUUCCCUUAUUGUUUCUGCGAAAAUCCUUGUUGUAUUCUGGAAAAACAAUGAGGUAGAUGGUGGUCUCACCCAUCCGCAUAUACACUUCCAAUAAAAAAAUUUUGCCUUAUCUUUUGUGUUAUGAAAGUUAUCAGAAAAAGAGAAAGACAUUAGAAGAAUUCACAAUCACAAUACUAUGGCCAAACUUCAGGAGAAGAAAGAUUGAAAGAGGAACCACCUUUGAAGAAACGAAAAGAAAUAAAACAGAUACAAGACCCAACCCUGUCCUGCCCUCUCCUUAUGCAUCAUUUGAAAAAAUUGGCACAACACACCAAAGAGGAUUGUCAUGCCUUAGAUAAUCAGACUGUAGAUGUAUCUUGCAGGAACUAGGACAAAUCCAAAAUAUAUUUGUUUAUAGUCUGAUGGAUUACAAAGAUUAAGAGGAAAAUGAAAAUUGAAAGUUUGCAGUUUUGGGUGCAUGUCAUCCAUGUAUUACUUCAUCAUUUCCAGAAUGGCACAAGAAAAUAUUUUACAGGGAAGAAAUUAAGGAGAAGAAGAAGGAUUUUAUUAUAAAAUAAAAUAAAAACAGAAAACACGGGAGAGAAGUGAUUAAUUAAAUUGAAGAAGUUAUCCUUAUCUUCAAUAUAAAAAAAUAAAUAAAUUUGUAAUAUAAGUUUCUUUUUUACUUUAAAAAGAAAAUAAAAGAAAUUAAAUUGAAGAAGUUAUCCUUAUCUUCCAAAUCCAGAUUAGAAACAAGAUUUUAACUUGAUAAGAAAAGUCUGUAAAACUUUAUGUAUAUUUGGGUAAUAGCUAGGUCAGUAGAUUGAGGGGAUGCUCCCAAAUGAUUUAUAUUUAGCUAACUUUUUCUUGCAGGUCAAGAAAGAAAUGGGUAUGAAAACUCAUCCUUUGAAGAAAGAAAACUCAUCCUUUGAAGAAAGAAAACUCAUCCUUUGAAGAAAGAAAUCCAUGGCUGUUCACUUCAUAUCGUACUCCUCCAGCUCAAAUAAAAUGUUUUUUAGAAAACUAUUUCUUUUGAGAACAUAUUAAAUUAAACAAGGUUUCUCAUUGAAAUUUGUGAGGAGAGGUGCGAGAGAAUGGCUUAUUUCCAAGGGAAAUUAAUCAUAUAGUUGUGGGUAUUGACCUUUUUUUCAAAUGCAAUCUUAGCCAUUAAAACUGCUUUAAUCUAAAGGUUGAAAAUGUGUGUCUAAAUUUGUGACUUUGUGUGUGUAUAUAUAUAAUUUGUGUGUAUGUAUGUAUGUGUUUUUUAUGAUGUUUAUGAUCUUUAGCAAUCCUAAACUUUGAUGCUUUUUAACUUUAGUCUCUGUAGCAUUAUACAUUAUAACUCUAUGUUUACACUGAUUUCAGAGAAGCAGAUGAGUCUCGCUUACGAGAAGUCUGUGAGAGUUUCCUUGGACCUCCAACUGGGAUGGUGGAGGAUACGCCUUUAGAUCCAAAGAACCUGGCAUGGGAUCCUUAUGUGCUUGUAAGGCUUUGUAUAACAAUUCUUUAGGUGUCUUUUGCUAAUGGGAUUUGAAUCCAAAAAAAUUUCAAUCCAUUUGCCCCCUAAUUUUCUCUUUUUUCUUUUGCAAUUUUCUUUUUGAGAUAUGACCCUAAUAGAUACUCCUCGUGUAGAGUCAGUACAAAUUUCUUUUAUUUUCUUACUCAUUCUGGUUGCUUGUUGAGGGUUAAGCAGUACCUGUGAUAAAUUUGUAAAUCUACUGUAGUUUCACCUGCAAUUUGGUUGAUUGCAGGGUGAAAUUGCAAUGGUGUAUGAUACAAUCUUAAGUAUCAGACUUGUUGCAAUAUACCCCGGCACAAACUCUUGCCAUCCAAUCUUUGCUACUUAAUUGUUACUAAUUUUUAGUUUUUUUUUAAGCCUUGAGAAGGUUUAUAUGCGUUAUUUACAUUUACCCCUUGUGUUUCUGCUUUUGCAGGGAAUGAGGAAACAUAAACUCUUACGAGAAGAUAUUCUUCCGGCAAUGGCUUCAAAUAGAAAAGUACAGCGAUUGCUUAAUGAAUUCAUGGAUCUCAUUUCCGAAUAUGAAAGCGCUGAAACAAAUCUAGAGAAAAGGUCUCAAACUUCACCAACAGCACGUCCACCAGCAGCUGAUCAAAUGGACUCCAUCUGGGACAAAUCAAAAGGACUCUGUCCCUGCUGCAACAGAUCAAAAGAAGUCUGUUCCUGCUUCAAUUGAUGAAAAGGACUCCUCCCAGUUAGCAGCAGAUAAAGAGAAUUCUGCUCAAGCGGCAGAAGAUACAGUUAAUUCAGAUCCACAAAUGAUCAAUCAAGUUAGUCUUGCUCCACAAGAUGCAGGUUCUUGAGUUUUGCGUCUUCUCACAGUCAAAAGGAAUGUAAGAAAUAGGGCACGCUAACAUGUAGUUGAACAGGGGUUAGCUUGAAGAUGACCGGCGUAUUGUAUAUGUUUGGAGUUUAUUUACCCAUGACACAUGCAUAUCUAGAUUGGAGUCCAUUUUGCUGAUCAC